rnacentral:rRNA from 1 species
GACGAACGCUGGCGGCGUGCUUAACACAUGCAAGUCGAGCGAGGCCCCUCCUUCGGGAGGGUGUCCUAGCGGCGAACGGGUGAGUAACACGUGGGCAACCUGCCCUCAGCUCUGGGAUAACUCCGGGAAACCGGGGCUAAUACCGGAUACGAUCUCCACGGGCAUCUGCGGAGGUGGAAAGUUUUUCGGCUGAGGAUGGGCCCGCGGCCUAUCAGCUAGUUGGUGGGGUAGUGGCCCACCAAGGCGACGACGGGUAGCCGGCCUGAGAGGGCGACCGGCCACACUGGGACUGAGACACGGCCCAGACUCCUACGGGAGGCAGCAGUGGGGAAUAUUGCGCAAUGGGCGAAAGCCUGACGCAGCGACGCCGCGUGAGGGACGAAGGCCUUCGGGUUGUAAACCUCUUUCAGCAGGGACGAAGCGAAAGUGACGGUACCUGCAGAAGAAGCACCGGCCAACUACGUG